rnacentral:lncRNA from 2 species
UCGUAGGUGCACUUCUCCUUUGUUUCCGAUCGAGCUUCUUGUGUCUCAUCUCAUGCCUUGUUUUCUUCCUGCUCGCAGGUUGAGUUGCUCUCUGAAAACCCUGCUGCGCUUGCCAGGUACCCUGUGGGCACUGAGUACGAUUGGGAAGAUGAGGUCACGCCCGCGUCCGACGUCGGUGACGCGGAGGGUGCCGGGUCCGACUUCGACCUCGACUUCGCGUUCGCGCCGCCGGUAUCAGCGGCCAAGUUGGUGCCGGCCGACGACAUCUUCGCGCACGGCCGCAUCGUGCCUGCGUACCCGGUGUUCGACCGCAACUUCCUCGACCUCUCACCUGGCGAUGUGGCAGAGCCUGCCUCCACGGCAGCGCCCUCCACCGACACCUACUGC